rnacentral:misc_RNA from 1 species
ACUGCCUGUAUUCCACUGCUG